rnacentral:rRNA from 1 species
UACGGGGGGAGCAAGCGUUGUUCGGAUUCACUGGGCGUAAAGGGUGCGUAGGCGGUCGGGUAAGUCUGACGUGAAAUCUUCAAGCUUAACUUGGAAACUGCGUCGGAUACUAUUCGGCUGGAGGAAUGGAGGGGAGACUGGAAUACUUGGUGUAGCAGUGAAAUGCGUAGAUAUCAAGUGGAACACCAGUGGCGAAGGCGAGUCUCUGGACAUUUCCUGACGCUGAGGAGCGAAAGUGUGGGGAGCGAACAGG